rfam:Bacteroides sp. CAG:702 genomic scaffold, scf362
ACGGGAAUAGCUCAGUUGGUAGAGCAUCGGUCUCCAAAACCGAGUGUCGGGAGUUCGAGUCUCUCUUCCCGUG